AAGAAGAGGGGGAAACGUGUGACGUGUAACUGAUGCGCUGAAAACGUCAUUCAGAAACGCUGAUGUGUUACUUCUUCCAUUGGGUUUACAUGGUGAACUUUGGGCUUGUAUUUAGCUACAGUAUUCAUUUCUAAACAUGCAAUAACGGGAAACAAUAAGGCGACGAUUGUUUAAACGUGUGAAGGCUACCACAGAGAAACGGGAAGCAGCCGAGGACAUGGCGCCUAAAGGCAAGGUCGGCACGAAAGGCAAGAAGCAGAUCUACGAGGAGAACGAUGCGACUAUGAAAUUCUACACUCGAGUCAUUCUGGGAGCGAAUGCCAUAUAUGCGGGGAUAAACUUGCUACUCUUCUACAAUUCGUCUACAUUCUCGACAUGGCUGCUGCUUGG